rnacentral:rRNA from 1 species
UGCGAACGGGUGAGUAACGCGUAGGUAACCUGCCUCUUAGCGGGGGAUAACUAUUGGAAACGAUAGCUAAUACCGCAUAAAAGUCGACAUUGCAUGAUGUUGACUUGAAAGGUGCAAUUGCAUCACUAAGAGAUGGACCUGCGUUGUGUUAGCUAGUUGGUGAGGUAACGGCUCACCAAGGCGACGAUACAUAGCCGACCUGAGAGGGUGAUCGGCCACACUGGGACUGAGACACGGCCCAGACUCCUACGGGAGGCAGCAGUAGGGAAUCUUCGGCAAUGGGGGCAACCCUGACCGAGCAACGCCGCGUGAGUGAAGAAGGUUUUCGGAUCGUAAAGCUCUGUUGUAAGAGAAGAACGAGUGUGAGAGUGGAAAGUUCACACUGUGACGGUAACUUACCAGAAAGGGACGGCUAACUACGUGCCAGCAGCCGCGGUAAUACGUAGGUCCCGAGCGUUAUCCGGAUUUAUUGGGCGUAAAGCGAGCGCAGGCGGUUAGAUAAGUCUGAAGUUAAAGGCUGUGGCUUAACCAUAGUACGCUUUGGAAACUGUUUAACUUGAGUGCAGAAGGGGAGAGUGGAAUUCCAUGUGUAGCGGUGAAAUGCGUAGAUAUAUGG